rnacentral:lncRNA from 1 species
AGUCGCAAUGAUUUGUAUGAUAGCUGCUAGCCCAAGAGAGAGUUCCAGAAGAGGGCUACCUGACAGGUGCUGUGGCAUUUAGAAGAGGAAUGGAGCCACUGUCAACGCACAGCUUGCAGGUGAGCAGGAGAGUCAGUCUAAGAAGGAAAUGUGAUGAUGGAAACAGAGGUUGGAAGAUGGAAGGGGACCCAGAGUCAAGGAAUGCAGGUAGAAAAGAAAAGCCUGGAUUCUCCCCUAAAGCCUCCAGAUGGAACACAGCCUUGCCUCCACCUUGAUUUCAGGACUUCUUACCCCAAGAAUCGUAAGCUAAUACAUUUGUUUUUGUUUUUGUUUUUGUUUUCUUUGAGAUGGAGUCUUGCUCUGCUGCCCAGGCUGGAGUGCAGUGGAGCGAUCUUGGCUCACUGCAACGUCCAUCUUCUGGGUUCAAGCGAUUCUCCUGCUUCAGCCUCUCAAGUAGCUGG